CUUUUAAUAAUGCAGUACACAUAGGACCGCGGAGGAAAGGAAAACACGAGUAAACGAGAUUGGGCAUUGAUUUGUCGUGGGUAUACUCUCUCACAAAAGAGAGCAGAGCUGCACAGGCGAGUUUAAAACGCGGACCUUCGCAGUUAGGUUUACCAUUCGUUUCGCUUUGAAAAGGUAACGUCCACCGGCCGUUCAUUCCGGUUAAUAGAGGCCGAGAGUAGAUUUAUGAACAGCGUUUGGUCGGAUGAAUGAAAACACAAUACGAGGUCUGAUGGAUGGUCUGUGAAAUUAAUUUUCGUUGAACUUGUAACAAAUUUUAUGGAAACAAUUGAGAAAGAUGGAACUUCCAUAGAAGAAAAUUCAAUCUAGCGAAAAAUAUAAUAAUCCAUACACCUAGACAAUAAUACUAAUAACAAUUAACGUUUAAAAAUAAGUUAUAAAAUAUUACUAACGAAU